CGUGUGACACAAUCAAGGGGACUCGCGGGGAGGAAUUCGGUGCGAAUCCGGAGCGGUCCCGCCACUGUGAGCGUCCCAGCGCAAGCCAGGUCUAUCCCGUAAGUCAAGUCGCGG
rfam:Propionibacterium acnes KPA171202, complete genome.